CCAGUCCAAAGGCUGAGUGCGGGAGCUGAGGGCAGCCUGGACGAGCACAGCAGCUCUUCUGGGUGUGUGUUUGUCCACUCGGGCCGGUGAAAACAGCUGGCGAGGACAAUGAUGAACAAUGAUGAGCGUGGCACUGACACCAGGCAGCCCGGCUCCCCCUCCCAGUGUUGAUCUGUGGCCUUUUUAAAGGCCAAGACAAUCCUCUGUGUGGUGGCGCCGUCUGGAACUCCCCAGAAAAUGCCCAUGACAAUGGCAGCAGGCAGCCACGCCAGAUUGGGAUCUGGCCAGCUUUGGAGGGGGCAUGGCUCAGUCUGGGAGUCUCUGCCCCCAUCCAGGGGAAAUUCGGGCACACAGAGAAACACGCACGUCGGACGAACACCAGGUGAAGAUAAAGGCAGAGAUUGAAAGAUGCUUCUACAAGCAGGAAUGCCAAAGAUUGCCAGCAGACCAGCAAGCGGGGAGAGAGGCCAAACUAGACUCUCCCUCACAGCCCUCAGAAGGAACUGGCCCUGCUGACAUCUCGAUUCUGGACUUCUAACCUCCAGAACGGAGACACUACAUUUCUGUUGUUAUGGCAGCCCUCAGCCAAUGUACACAGCAGUAAAAUAUGCAUACCAU